rnacentral:snRNA from 1 species
GUACUCGCUCCGGCAGUACAUAUACUAAAAUUGGAACGAUACAGAGAAGAUGAGCAUAGCCUCUGAGCAAAGAUGACACACGUGAAACGUUCCAUAUUUUU